rnacentral:rRNA from 1 species
AUUGAACGCUGGCGGCAGGCCUAACACAUGCAAGUCGAGCGAGCGGCGGACGGGUGAGUAAGGUCUGGGCCACGGCGUGAGGGAGGGGGAUAACUAAUGGAAACGGUAGCUAAUAACGCAUACCAUCGGAUGUGCCCAGAUGGGAUUAGCGAGUUGGUGGGGUAAAGGCUCACCUAGGCGACGAUCCCUAGCUGGUCUGAGAGGAUGACCAGCCACACUGGAACUGAGACACGGUCCAGACUCCUACGGGAGGCAGCAGUGGGGAAUAUUGGACAAUGGGCGCAAGCCUGAUGCAGCCAUGCCGCGUGUAUGAAGAAGGCCUUCGGGUUGUAAAGUACUUUCAGCGGGGAGGCGUUACCCGCAGAAGAAGCACCGGCUAACUUCGUGCCAGCAGCCGCGGUAAUUC